CGCAGGCCUAUCAGGUUGUUUGGUGGGGUAACGGCCCACCAAGGCUUCGACGGGUAGCCGGCCUGAGAGGGUGACCGGCCACACUGGGACUGAGACACGGCCCAAACUCCUACGGAAGGCAACAGGGGGGAAUAUUGGACAAUGGGCGAAAGCCUGAUCCAGCAACGCCCCGUGAGGGAUGACGGCCUUCGGGUUGUAUACCUCUUUCAGCACGGUCGAAGCGCAAGUGACGGUACCUGCACCAUAAGCACCGUCCCACUACGUGCCACCACCCCCGGUAAUA
rnacentral:rRNA from 1 species